rnacentral:antisense_RNA from 1 species
GACCAGCGUUGGGAAAUUAGGCUGGAACCAUCAUGAAAACUUUUUCAGGCUGUGCACGCUCGCCCGUGCCUGCCCAUCUGCUUCCAACCCCUCCCCACCUUUCUGGGCGCAGCCUGCCUGCUCCAUCGGAAUGCCCCUUAGAUGAAUCCCCUUGUGCUAGUACUAUGUCUUUGUCGUCCAGCUCUCUGAUUUUUUCUGUACACCUUCUCGGUUUCCAGAGUCUUAAUUUGCCUGCUUGUCCUUAACCAUCAAAACUCUUUAUUAAUAUCCUGGCUAUAUAUUGCUGGGUGAGCUCCCGAGGCUUGAAAACCCAAGUAUGCUGUGCUGGCUGCGUUGUAAUCGGUAGAGAGCCACCAGCUAAAAAUUGUAUUUUGUACCAACUCUAAUGGCAUUUAAUAAGUGUAGCUAAAAA